GUACUGAUGAAGAGCCUCAACUAAGGCGAAACAGCUGUCCAGUAC
rnacentral:hammerhead_ribozyme from 1 species